rnacentral:rRNA from 1 species
AGUGAACGCUGGCGGUAGGCCUAACACAUGCAAGUCGAACGGCAGCACAGUAAGAGCUUGCUCUUACGGGUGGCGAGUGGCGGACGGGUGAGGAAUACAUCGGAAUCUACUUUUUCGUGGGGGAUAACGUAGGGAAACUUACGCUAAUACCGCAUACGACCUACGGGUGAAAGCAGGGGAUCUUCGGACCUUGCGCGAUUGAAUGAGCCGAUGUGGGAUUAGCUAGUUGGCUGGGUAAAGGCCCACCAAGGCGACGAUCCGUAGCGGGGCGGAGAGGGUGAGGGGGGGCGGGGGGGGUGGGGCGCGGUCGAGGCGCGUGCGGGGGGGGGGGGUGGGGGGUGGUGGAGGAGGGGCGGGAGCGGGAGCCAGGCGUAGCGGGUGGGUGAGGGAGGCCUUCGGGUUGUAGAGGCCUUUUGUUGGGGAAGAAGAGCAGCAGGUUAAUGCGGCGCUGUUGUGACGGUACCCGAAGAAUAAGCACCGGCUAACUUCGUG